UACGAAGGGGGCUAGCGUUGCUCGGAAUCACUGGGCGUAAAGGGUGCGUAGGCGGGUCUUUAAGUCAGGGGUGAAAUCCUGGAGCUCAACUCCAGAACUGCCUUUGAUACUGAGGAUCUUGAGUUCGGGAGAGGUGAGUGGAACUGCGAGUGUAGAGGUGAAAUUCGUAGAUAUUCGGAAGAACACCAACGGCGAAGGCAGCUCGCUGGGACGGAACUGACGCUGAGGCGCGAAAGCGUGGGGAGCGAACAGG
rnacentral:rRNA from 1 species